rnacentral:rRNA from 1 species
UACGAAGGACCCGAGCGUUAUCCGGCUUUAUUGGGUUUAAAGGGUGCGUAGGCGGACUUAUAAGUCAGUGGUGAAAUCUCCCAGCUUAACUGGGAAACUGCCAUUGAAACUAUUUGUCUUGAGUACAUUUGAGGCGGGCGGAAUGUGUCAUGUAGAGGUGAAAUUCUUAGAUAUGACACAGAACACCAAUUGCGAAGGCAGCUCGCUAAACUGUAACUGACGCUGAGGCACGAAAGCGUGGGGAUCAAACAGG